rnacentral:rRNA from 1 species
GACGAACGCUGGCGGCGUGCUUAACACAUGCAAGUCGAACGGAAAGGCCCUUCGGGGUACUCGAGUGGCGAACGGGUGAGUAACACGUGGGUGAUCUGCCCUGCACUUUGGGAUAAGCCUGGGAAACUGGGUCUAAUACCGAAUAGGACCACGCGCUUCAUGGUGUGUGGUGGAAAGCUUUUGCGGUGUGGGAUGGGCCCGCGGCCUAUCAGCUUGUUGGUGGGGUAAUGGCCUACCAAGGCGACGACGGGUAGCCGGCCUGAGAGGGUGACCGGCCACUCUGGGACUGAGAUACGGCCCAGACUCCUACGGGAGGCAGCAGUGGGGAAUAUUGCACAAUGGGCGCAAGCCUGAUGCAGCGACGCCGCGUGAGGGAUGACGGCCUUCGGGUUGUAAACCUCUUUCAAUAGGGACGAAGCGCAAGUGACGGUACCUAUAGAAGAAGCACCGGCCAACUACGUG